rnacentral:rRNA from 1 species
GACGAACGCUGGCGGCGUGCUUAACACAUGCAAGUCGAACGGUAAGGCCCUUCGGGGUACACGAGUGGCGAACGGGUGAGUAACACGUGGGUGAUCUGCCCUGCACUUCGGGAUAAGCCUGGGAAACUGGGUCUAAUACCGGAUAGGACUCCGGACUGCAUGGUCUGGGGUGGAAAGCUUUUGCGGUGGGGGAUGGGCCCGCGGCCUAUCAGCUUGGUGGUGGGGUGAUGGCCUACCAAGGCGACGACGGGUAGCCGGCCGGAGAGGGUGACCGGCCAGACUGGGACGGGGAUCCGGCCCAGACUCCUACGGGAGGCAGCGGUGGGGAAUAUUGCACAAUGGGCGCAAGCCUGAUGCAGCGACGCCGCGUGAGGGAUGACGGCCUUCGGGUUGUAAACCUCUUUCAGCAUCGACGAAGCGAAAGUGACGGUAGGUGCAGAAGAAGGACCGGCCAACUACGUGCCAGCCGCCGCUGUAA